GGAUCGUAAUUGGAUGAAAGAUUAUAUAUUAGGCCCGAUGUAUGAGAAAGGAGUUCUUGAAUUCCUUAGUUACGCGGAACAAAAUCUUAUUGACAAUAAUAUAAUCUUUUAUAUUCUUGUGUUAUAUGAAUGAAUAUUGAAAAAAAAUCAAAGAAAGAAAUAUUCCAUCACCUAUGUUGUGAUGGAAUUUGUCAAAAUUAUACAAUAUGGACGUGACAUAGUGAAGU
rnacentral:lncRNA from 1 species